UCUGUUAUUUAAUCAUUAUUUUUCAAUCAGCUGAGGCCAGAUUCAGCUUUUUUAGGGGAAUAACUUUUUUAACAAUAUCUAUUUAGAUAAGAUAGCUAAUUAAGAUAUCUUGCUUAUUAUUUUAUAUAAAUACGCUGAUUACAUGGUACUAGUAUCAGAUAUACACCUGUUUAAGCGGAUUCAAAACUUUCACCAAGUUCAAAAUGAAAUCUCUAUCACUUAUAUUUGUAUUAGCGGCAUUCAUUUGCUUUACACUAUCAUCACCUAUUGAUAAAGCAGAACCUGAAAGCCCCGUAGAGAUCCUCCUGAGCCCAGUACAGAUUGUGAUCAAUCCAACUCAGACUCUGUUCUGUACAAACUCAUGGUGUCACAAUAUAUGUGUACAACUUGGAACAAGGACCGGUUACUGUAAUGCUCAAAAUCAAUGCCAGUGCUCCUUUUAAUGGCUGAUAAAAUUAUUAGAUUUAACUAAAUUAAGUACACAAUUAAAUAUUACAAACCACAAUAAAUAAAUAAAUACAUUUUUAUAUGAA